GACGAACGCUGGCGGCGUGCUUAACACAUGCAAGUCGAACGGAAAGGCCCUGCUUUUGUGGGGUGCUCGAGUGGCGAACGGGUGAGUAACACGUGAGUAACCUGCCCUUGACUUUGGGAUAACUUCAGGAAACUGGGGCUAAUACCGGAUAGGAGCUCCUGCUGCAUGGUGGGGGUUGGAAAGUUUCGGCGGUUGGGGAUGGACUCGCGGCUUAUCAGCUUGUUGGUGGGGUAGUGGCUUAGCAAGGCAUUGACGGGUAGCCGGCCUGGGAGGGUGACCGGCCACAUUGGGCCUGAGGUACGGCCCAGACUCGAACGGGAGGCAGCAGUGGGGAAUAUUGCACAAUGGGCGGAAGCCUGAUGCAGCAACGCCGCGUUCGGGAUGACGGCCUUCGGGUUGUAAACCGCUUUCGCCUGUGACGAAGCGUGAGUGACGGUAAUGGGUAAAGAAGCACCGGCUAACUACGUG
rnacentral:rRNA from 1 species